GCCCCACUUGCACUAUCCUUUUCCAUGUUCCAUGGACUGUGAAAAUUGGGUAAUAAUCUAAUUUGGCAUUAAAAUUAGAAAGAUUAUACUAUAGGGAACAUAUGUACUAAGUUUCAAGUUGAUUGGACUUCAAUUUCAUCAAAAACUACCUUGACCAAAAACUUUAACCUGAAACUCCCACUUUCAUUUUCUAUGUUUAGUGAACCGUGAAAUUGGG
rnacentral:lncRNA from 1 species